AGAAAAUCAACAAUAUAAAGUUUAUUGGACAAUGUUUGAUCAAUGCCUGCAGACACAAUAACAGAUAUGUUUCUCAGAAUGGCUUUGUUCACUAAUUUCAAGGCUGUCAUUAGAUCACAGCAAUAUUUAUUGCCUAAUCAAACAAAACACAAUAAUUCCCCUGGCAAUAGUCUACAGGUUUAAGACCAAUUAACUAAGACUCAUGCAUGGCUUUAACACAACAUAAAAAAUACUAUCACAAAAUAAUGCAAUCGCAGAAUUCAACAAGAGGACUGCAUACUUCCGAGUUAAACAAACAAAAUUAAGUAUCAUUACAAUUAGAGCCAGAAGUAAUAUGUGUCCAAC